UUUCUCUCUAGUUUGAGUCGAGAAAUGAUGUAGGUAACUGAGUUUUGUUUAUCUUACUGUUCCUUCUAAUGUUAAAUUUCAAUUUUAUAAGGUUAUCACAAGUAGAAAGUUGCCUAUCAAAUGUGAUGUAUACUAACAACUUGUAGCAACAAGUGUGAGGUUUAUGGCUAAGGUUAAGCAGAUAGUAGUUGAAUACAUAUACUAUACUAUAUAUACAUAUUUUGGAAUCCACAAGAGCAAAACCUACAAUGGCGCUUUUAAGGAUUUAGCUACAAAGAACUUAUUCGAAUUCUAAAUCGUUAUGUAACCCGAAAUUACAUAUCCAAGGACAUCCGUCACAAAUUGGUGUCCACUUCGAACGUUCAAAGCUCUUGCAACGUCAUUAAUGUGAAGGCAUUGACUGUUGUCAAUUGGAUGGAUUUGUUUAAUGACUAUCUAUUGAAAAUACUGUGACAAAACGUAGGUUAAAUAAGUAAGAAGCCUCUUGUGACAUCGGGAAGACAAUAAUUUCGCAUUUUUUUGGGAGUAGUCCAAUCCCUUUUUAAACCUGUAUAAUACAUGCAUUCACACAUAGCAAUGACGGUCGUAUAGACAGAGUUAUUUCAAACUAUUUUUAGUGUCGUAGCAUCGUUCAUACUUUCCCAAAAGUUUGCAAAAUGCCCAAUUUUUAUGACCUUGAAAAUAUAGCAAGUAACGAUCACGAGUUGGUGGCAGCACUGUUGUUUUAUCUAUUCAGUGGAAUCACGAGUCAGUCACCGCACUGCUAUGUGUAAAUCGACCUUGUGAAAAAUUGUUGAACAGUUUUUAUUUGAUUAAGGGCUAUUUGUAUACAUCAAUACUAUAUAUUCACAAACUCCACUAACAAGUUAAUUUUAUCUAUAACCUUUAACUUCUGCAGUGUUCAAUGAUUACAUAAUCCUUUUUCUCAUUAAAAAACUAUUUAAAUAAUGUUCCGUUGUCUAACUAGUAUUGUAUUAUUAUUAUUAUUAUACAGUUAAAACUUCCCUUUUUUGAUCCAAUUACUUCAAUUAAUUAUGUAUGUAAAUGUAGCACUUGAUAUAACAAUUAGAAUUUAUAUAAACUAUGGAUACUUUUUCAAUUAAAUCAAAUAAUUAUAUUUAUAUAGCAUGAUUUUCAAAGAAUCUACUAAAAACGAAAUUUAAGAAAUAAACUCACUUUUUUUUCUUAUCCGUUAUCAUAGCAUGCAGAGAUUCCAUUUUACUAAGUUGCUGUUCUCUAUUUUUUUUGUUUGGAUCCUUGAGCUGACUUAUCAUAUUAUUUAGAAAUGGUAAGUAUUCCUGAAGAGCUUCAAGCUUUUUAUUGUAUUCUUCUUCGGACAUGUUGAAAAAUUUCUAAAAACAGUAUAUAUUUAUCCUGCUGUAGUACAAUCUAAGAUAUUACUGAUAAUUUAUACGUCCAAAAAAUGUUCAAACCUAAAAACUGGACUAAUGAAACGGGAAAAAUCAAGUAUCCUACUUCAUAACUAUUAAUUCUAAUAAAAUUAUUGCAGCUUU